UAUCAUAGGCUUCAGUAUUAAUGGUUGCAUGUUGUAACCUAUUGCUUUGCAAGAAGUAGCAAGAUCUCCUUUCGUAAUUCUAACCAAUAAAAAAUAUACGGACAAGUUGUUGCUAUAGACAUGUGGAUAAUUGUUUGCAUGUUGUAAUUUUAAUUCUAGACACACCUUCAUUAGUUAUUUUCACAUGAGAAUCUGACACAAAAUUGUAGCUUAAAUCUCCGACGGAUGUUCCCAUUAUUACGUUGUUCCAUAUGAAUUAUAAAUAAAAAGUGUUUUAUUUCUUCAUUGCUUGCCCAGUCGAGGCUUGAAGCUGCUUCUUCUGAAAACAGUGAACUUCAUAAUUGUAUCAUCCCAAAUUACAUGGUCAGACCAAGAAUUGCUUGAAUCAAAUCAACACCGAGUGUUCAAGAGGAGAGAAGCAUCGAUGGUUCGGACUUGAGAAGACGGAUAUAUGUGGUUGUAAAGUCGAUGGAGGAUGUAAGUUUAGUUUUAUUCUAAGUUUCUCAUUAGCUAGAUAGCUCUGCUUCAUUUCCUGAUAUUGUGUACCCUUUAUGUUCAGGGUAUGAUUUAGUUAUGAGGUAGAUCAUAAUUGUAUUCUUACUUCUAAUUAAUAUGUAAUUCAUUUUUAGUGAGGAUUGGUCUUCCCGUGGCGCUUCCACUCUGACGGGCGGUCACACCGGUGACAAAAUAGUCCUUAAUUUUACUUGACUAGGUGUAUAUUAUUGUAGGGACUUCUGAGGUAAUUUUCUAUGUGCAUGUGUUAGAAAACCAUAUCAUAAAUUAUGUGGGACAUAUGUAGAUACGUAGGCGACUUCCAAUAACAUUGUCCAUGGGGAAUGGAAAGAUUCAAUCAGCGACACGGGCCAACGCUAACUUGGGGUCAUCGCUCGAAACUCUUUCGGCAUGUCGUUCCUCUCCUUGAGCUGAUGGACGAGGAAGACCGUGCUCCUGCAUUGAGGAAGUUGAGGCACAGCCUGCUCUGUCGGGGUUGGCUGCACUGUCGACUGUGUACUGAGGCCCAACGCUCUCGAGGACGGGCAAUGCUAUGAUUGCUAGAGAGAACUACAGCCAUGAGCAGCCAACGCUCCGUCUGCUACCCAACCAUAAACGACAUCAAGCAGGAGUUGUCCAAAAUUUCAAGCGUGGUAUAUGCCUAGAGAGAUGGGAACUAUUUGGCACAUGAAUUUGCCGGAGCGAAGAUAUAUGAUGAUAUUCUGCUGAUUUCUGCCGUCCUAGAUGACCUUCGAAAUCUAUUGCAGACUGAUUGUAAUCGGGUAUAACCCAACACGACAUGUGCUAUUCCUCAAAUGUUUUUUUACUUCCAAACUGUAUUCGAAGUGGAUGUCAUAUAAAUGCUCCUAUAUUCGUGCAACUCGGC
rnacentral:lncRNA from 1 species